UUCCCGAUUUCUUUCCCUCUUCGCGCACAACCCUGCCCGAGCCGCCAUCCUUCUCCCCUCACCUCGCGACAGCGCCGGUUCUUCCUCCUCCUUCCCUUUUCUCUUCGCGAUGCUGCCAACCACCGCCCGGAGGACAAUCGCCUCUCACUGAUGCCGAUUCUUGAGAGCCUCCAAGUGUCGAUUCCCAAGUGCCGCUUCUCAGAGCAGUGUCGUCGUCGAUCUCCACGGUCGGCCCCUUCUUCCUUCAAUCGACUGUGUCCGUGCCCAACUCAGCCGAAGGUCGGUCACCUCUCCCUGACGUCGGUUCGUGAGAGCUUCCGAAUGCCACACGAGUGUCGUUUCCUGGAGCAACGCCAUCGUCUCCCUCUCGAGGGUGUUCUUCCUCUUCGAGCCGAGCCCUAGCUACUUCUCGUGGAGGCCGAUUUCCCCUCCUCAUCACCAGAUUUGGAACAAGGAGGUCCAACGACGCUUUCUCACCGGAUCUAGGAGUAUUCAAGAUCAUCCUCCGGCAGAGAUGGAAAAGAAGCAGUGCCUUUGACAGUAACCAACCGUAAGGUAAUCUAAUAGAUGAAUAUGGAUCGGGAUAUCUGGAUCACGGGUCAAGCAAAGGAUACUUGGUUUGGACAUUCACAACAACAACUUUCUCCGGCUAUGAGAUAGCAAUGGAAUGCAUUGAUUUGGGAUUUUGUUUUGGAACGAACGUCUCAACGUAGGAUUUCUGGACAUGAUCUACAGUUAAAGGCGGGUACCUCUUGACUUAUCUUUUUAUGAUAUUGUCAAUUAGAUAUGCAUAGUAUUUUAUAGUUGCAAGCAAUGAUCAUGUUUGCCUUUGGUAUGUCACGGUUUGAUACCCAUAGCAUGAUCUGUUUGGUCGCUUGUUAUGUAUCCAUGUUUAUACUUCAUGAUUCUUACCAUGAGUACUUCAGUUCCUAGAGUAAGUGACAUACCAUGCUUUACUGAGUUUAGGACUAGACUCUGGAUUUUUAUUAUCUGACAUGUGUAUCUAUAUUUUUAUAUCAUACCUGAUCUGUGUACCUAGACCUUU